CCCCACUAGUCUGGGAUACCACUUGGAAACAGGUGCUAAUACCGGAUAAGAAAGCGGAUCGCAUGAUCAGCUUUUAAAAGGCGGCGUAAGCUGUCGCUAUGGGAUGGCCCCGCGGUGCAUUAGCUAGUUGGUAAGGUAAAGGCUUACCAAGGCGAUGAUGCAUAGCCGAGUUGAGAGACUGAUCGGCCACAUUGGGACUGAGACACGGCCCAAACUCCUACGGGAGGCAGCAGUC
rnacentral:rRNA from 1 species